GACGCUUUGGCCGAGCGGUUAAGGCGGUAAGUGCGACUACAUUCAUACGUUUACCUGCAGUCUUGCUAAUUCACAUAUAGACACCCUGCUACUCUUAAGUUGUUGAGGUGUUCUCUUCGGAGGCACAAGUUCGAAUCUUGUAGGCGUCG